UUAUAUUUGUUAAACCGUGAUAUACGAGCUAUUUAUUUUUGUUAAUAUUUUUACAUUUUUAUCUUGAUAUCGGAGAGGUUUUUCAUUUGUAAAGUAUAUGCAUAUAAUUCAUUAUUAAUGGAUUCGAUUGUGCACUCUUCUUGCCUUAUUAUUUUAUUCAAAGGUGCUGAUCUUGGCGUUGUAAGUCAAAUCCGUGAAUAUUAUUAUAAAGUAUGCAGAUGGAGUAUGGUUCCUAGAGAUCUAUGGCAUAGGUUGCAAAUAUUAGUCACCGUACUGCUUUCAAAGAUGAUCAUAACCUAUAUUAAGCUUUAAUAGGUCACGUAACGACAAAUGUGAAAACAUUCUAACCAAUAAACUAACGGCACGAUAUAUGUAGAAAACAUGAAUGAAAAAAAAUAUACAGCAACAAACAACAAUUUAAUAACAAUUAACUUCUUGACUUGCGACAGGCAUACAAAUUAUGGCGCUGUUAAACAUAUUUACGGACGCCCAACCCUCAAUCUAACCUUUGACAGUGGUCAAACAGCACAACAUAAAACAAAGUAUCAAAAUCAGUUGGUAGGGGUUUUAUAUUUUCAUAUUGACUCAUCAGUACAAUAUGAAACACUAAAACGACUUGAAAAUACACUCAUGUCACAAAACACAAGUCUGGUAGUACUCACAGUUACUUAAAGAUUUUACGUAGCCAAAAAUAAAUACAUAAAACAAAAUCAUGUAUCUUAGACUCUCAGUCAUAUCCUUUCUGUCUAAACGGAAAGUAAAGUUUGCAUUACGAUAUACAUAUCAAACGCAUGUCUACUACAAUUCUAUACAUUUUUUUUAUAUUUGUCAUGAAUAUUAUAUUUUCUUUGUCAAGUUUACAUGUCAUACAUCGUCUAAUGUAAUGAUUACUUUUGUAUCGGAGAAGACCUCUCGUUAGUAAAGAAAACAGGUGGCUUUUCCAUUGUUUUGUUUUGAUUUAACAAUUCAGUAUUUUUAAAGUAAAAGUAUUAAUCCCCAUAUAUUACAAUAACCAUUGUAACACUCGUUUAUUUAUAGAUAUGAUUCUUUUUGCUUUCUUUUUAUGUAUAUAUAUAUAUAUAUAAUAUUACACACAUCAUUCAAUUCAUUGCAAUUUUCUUUUAAAAAAAAUCUUCUCCUUGGUAAAUGAAACGUCAUGUGUGUCCGAUUUUUCAUAAAAUUAACAUAAUGUAAUGUACGCCGGAGUUUUGUAAAAAUUAAAUGUAUGCCCGAUCUUUCAUAAAAUGAAUAAAGCACAUACAAGGAAAGUUUAUUUCAAUAUUAAUAUUUUUUAAUACGCUUGCUUUGUAAAUGGAUCUUUCAAACACAGUUUUUACAAAAUCUAGUUCAGUUAUAUCCUUUUUUACACGCAAAAGGUGCACAUAUCUUUAGACUUUUUUAAACGUUUUAAUAGUAAUUUAAUAUUUGUGAAAAUACUUUUUGGGUCAAGUUCGUAUUAUGUAUAUAGAUGCAUAUAUCUACGGUAACUAUUUUAUUACAAGGCAAUUAGUAGAAUGUUGUUUAUAUAAUUUCUUGCAGAAUGCAUUCGCAGUAAUGUGGCAUUUAAGUAUUUGUACAUGCACAAAUGUACAAUUUUUUUGUCCUAAGGAUACAUGUCUGCUGAUAGUUUUUGUGUUGACUUAUCAAUUGAUGUUUGCCUUAACGGUUGCAGUGAUAUUAUUGAUUUUUUAAAUGGAGUACAACUUCAUGGUACCCUUGACCAGAUAUGUGGGUCGAUAUCCUUAGUAAAAUAAAACAAAGAUCAUUAUGCAUAGUGUCGAGAACAGAAUACUGCGGUAUGACAUGAUUGACAAUCUGACUUCAAGCGGAACUUCCCUGUCUGUGAUAAUGACUCAUGUGAACAUCCAGAGUAGCAUAUUAGGGCAAAAAAUAACUAUUUUAGAUUUAAAAAAAUACCUAACUUAAAACUAAUAUAAGUCCUUUUCAUAUAUUCGUCUUUUUUUCUUUCAAAUUGUUUCAUAUUUGUCGUGUCGCGAUCUAUUAUUGCCGACUAUACGGUAUGUGAUUUGCUCAUUGUUUCAGACCCAACAGUGACCUAUAAUUUCUGAAAUCCACGCCAUUUUGAUUAUGUUGGAUAUCUGUCUUAUAAGCAAUCAUUACACAUCUAUUUAUUUUGUACAUAUAUCCAUUUUAUGAUAAUUGAAACAUUCAUUUGUCUUUUAUAAUUUUCCCUUAUUUUUCACGGCGAUUGUACGGCAUUAAUGUUGUCUGCCGUCUAUACAGAGAGUCCGUUUUUUGUAUUGCCAUUAAUAUUUCAUCGUUAUCAUUAAUGUUGUUGUUGUUAAACAUGUUAAAGAUAUUUAACAAAUUAUUAAAAAUAUUUGUGUACUUGUUAUUGUUUUCAAUCAAAAUUUUGUGAUUAUUCAUAAUUUUUGCUGUUCAUACAAGACUUUGUGCU
rnacentral:lncRNA from 1 species